rnacentral:rRNA from 1 species
CCUACGGGUGGCAGCAGUGGGGAAUGUUGGACAAUGGGCGCAAGCCUGAUCCAGCUAUUCCGCGUGUGGGAUGACGGCCCUCGGGUUGUAAACCACUUUAGGAGAGAACGAAAAGGAGCGAGCGAAUAAAUAGCUCUGCUGACGGUACGCGAAGAAGAAGCACCGGCUAACUACGUGCCAGCAGCCGCGGUAAUACGUAGGGGGCGAGCGUUAAUCGGAAUUACUGGGCGUAAAGGGUGUGCAGGCGGCUGAGUAAGACAGAGUUGAAAUCCCCGGGCGUAACCUGGGAACCGCUUAUGUGCCUCCUUGGCUAGAGUGCGUCAUAGGGAGGUGGACUUCCACGUGUAGCCGUGAAAUGCGUAGAUAUGUGGCAGACCCCCGAUGGCGCAGGCAGCCUCCUGGGACGCAACUGACGCUCAUUCACGCAAGCGUGGGGAGCAAACAGGAUUAGCUCCCCCAGUAGUC